UGCUCUUCAGGCUACCAUGGAAGGUCUUCAAGUUCUUCCAUUGGAAGAUGUUGUGUCCGAGGUUGAUAUCUUUGUUACCACCACCGGUAACAAGGACAUCAUCAUGGUCAGCGACAUGAGGAAGAUGAAGAACAAUGCCAUUGUUUGCAACAUUGGUCACUUUGACAAUGAAAUUGACAUGCUUGGUCUUGAGACAUACCCUGGUGUUAAGAGGAUCACCAUUAAGCCCCAAACUGACAGGUGGGUGUUCCCUGAUACCGGCAAAGGCAUCAUUAUCCUGGCUGAGGGACGUUUGAUGAACUUGGGUUGUGCAACUGGUCACCCCAGUUUCGUCAUGUCUUGCUCUUUCACUAACCAAGUGAUUGCCCAGCUGGAGUUGUGGAAUGAGAAGAGCUCAGGAAAGUACGAGAAGAAGGUCUAUGUCUUGCCCAAGCACCUCGACGAGAAGGUUGCCGCACUCCAUCUCGGAAAGCUUGGUGCCAAGCUUACAAAGCUCUCCAAG
rnacentral:lncRNA from 1 species